ACGUAGGUGGCAAGCGUUGUCCGGAAUUAUUGGGCGUAAAGCGCGCAGGCGGUUUCUUAAGUCUGAUGUGAAAGCCCACGGCUCAACCGUGGAGGGUCAUUGGAAACUGGGAAACUUGAGUGCAGAAGAGGAAAGUGGAAUUCCACGUGUAGCGGUGAAAUGCGUAGAGAUGUGGAGGAACACCAGUGGCGAAGGCGACUUUCUGGUCUGUAACUGACGCUGAGGCGCGAAAGCGUGGGGAGCAAACAGG
rnacentral:rRNA from 1 species